GACGUAGGGCGCAAGCGUUGUCCGGAUUUAUUGGGCGUAAAGAGCUCGUAGGCGGCUUGUUGCGUCGACUGUGAAAAACCACGACUCAACCGUGGGACUGCAGUCGAUACGGGCAGGCUAGAGUUCGGUAGGGGAGACUGGAAUUCCUGGUGUAGCGGUGAAAUGCGCAGAUAUCAGGAGGAACACCGAUGGCGAAGGCAGGUCUCUGGGCCACUACUGACGCUGAGAAGCGAAAGCAUGGGGAGCGAACAGG
rnacentral:rRNA from 1 species